CUCCUUGUGAGCCCCUUAGAUAAGCUCCUCCAUGGAGCUUACCAAAACCCUGCCCUUUUUGGUUUGAAUUGACAGAUCAGGCCUUAACCCUGGAACCUCAAAGCACGCUACCCACAGACCCUAGGAAAGGCAUGGCCUUAGGUCCUGCGUGUCUGCCUUGAGCUCCCUGGGUGGCCCCUUGAGGCUUGCUGUGUACUUCCUCCAGGACCUGAACAGCAGCACAUCUCUGUGAGAUGAAACCUUCCCGGGCUUUUCUACAACCUCUCCUACUCCCAGACUUUACAAUCAGUCUACUAAAAGGAGGUAAAAGUUAAGCUAAAGAAUUCUAAACAAAUAAGAAGAGCCCUCCCUCCGAGGCGAGCAAAGUGCCAUGUUGUGACAGCCCUAUGGAGAGGCCCAUGUCAAGGAACUAAGGAAGGCUUCCAGCCUAGAGCCAGCAAGGAACUGAGGCCCUCAGUCCAACCAGCCCACGGGGAACCGAAUCCUGCUAACCACCAUGUAAGUGAGCUCAGAAGCAGAGCUGUAUUCAGAUGAGACCUACUUCCUUGAAGGCAGCCUUGUUAGAAUAGUUGAAGCAGAGUCGCCAAGCUGAUCUACACCUGAUUUCCGACCCAG